CUUCAAGACCACCUCCACCAUAGAAGAAGGGCCAAGACAAGAAGAAGGAAGAGGAGGCUCCGCACCAUGCUACACUGGCCUUCAGGUCCGUGCCAUCUUCCUCAACACCGCCAUGCCUUUCUCCCCGACUUGGGGCGAAAACGAUGAAGUAUCUGUUGUAUCCUGGACUUGAUGGGCUCGCUAAUAAGGCAAUGGAAAAUUCCCUGUUCGGGCGUGCAGGGUGCUCUGCUUCUUCGAUGCUUAAGGACACUCGAUCAUCGGCGAGGGAAGUUGCUUAGAAUCGUUUUGGUCUAGAUGGUCCAAAGUACAUGGGGCCUUGGUCUGCUUAUUUUGUGUUCUAUCAGUGAUCAUCUUAUCAAGUGUAUCCCUAUGUGCAUGUAUCCUGUAGAUGAAACUUGUAAGCCUCUUAUUUA